rnacentral:rRNA from 1 species
UACGUAGGGACCGAGCGUUGUCCGGAUUUAUUGGGCGUAAAGAGCGUGUAGGCGGCCUGGAAGGUCCGUUGUGAAAACUCGAGGCUCAACCUCGAGACGUCGAUGGAAACCCUCAGGCUAGAGUCCGGAAGAGGAGAGUGGAAUUCCUGGUGUAGCGGUGAAAUGCGCAGAUAUCAGGAAGAACACCUAUGGCGAAGGCAGCUCUCUGGGACGGUACUGACGCUGAGACGCGAAAGCGUGGGGAGCGAACAGG